UACGUAGGGGGCAAGCGUUGUCCGGAAUCAUUGGGCGUAAAGAGCGUGUAGGCGGCUCGAUAAGUCCGCUGUGAAAGUCCAGGGCUCAACCCUGGAAGGCCGGUGGAAACUGUCGGGCUAGAGUCCGGAAGAGGCGAGUGGAAUUCCCGGUGUAGCGGUGAAAUGCGCAGAUAUCAGGAGGAACACCUGUGGCGAAAGCGGCUCACUGGACCAUAACUGACGCUGAUGCACGAAAGCUAGGGGAGCAAACAGG
rnacentral:rRNA from 1 species